rnacentral:rRNA from 1 species
UACGGAAGGCAGCAGUGGGGAAUAUUGCACAAUGGGCGAAAGCCUGAUGCAGCUAUGCCGCGUGUAUGAAGAAGGCCUUAGGGUUGUAAAGUACUUUCAUCGGGGAGGAAAAAACAAAACUAAUAAUUUUAUUUCUUGACGUUACCCGAAAAAGAAGCACCGGCUAACUCCGUGCCAGCAGCCGCGGUAAUACGGAGGGUGCUAGCGUUAAUCAGAAUUACUGGGCGUAAAGAGCACGUAGGUGGUUUUUUUAAGUCAGAUGUGAAAUCCCUGGGCUUAACCUAGGAACUGCAUUUUGAAACUGAAAUACUAGAGUAUCGUAGAGGGAGGUAGAAUUCUAGGUGUAGCGGUGAAAUGCGUAGAUAUCUGGAGGAAUACCUGUGGCGAAAGCGGCCUCCUAAACGAAUACUGACACUGAGGUGCUAAAGGCGUGGGGAGCAAACAGGGAUUAGAUACC